UACGUAGGGAGCAAGCGUUGUUCGGAUUUACUGGGCGUAAAGGGCGCGUAGGCGGCGCGGUAAGUCACUUGUGAAAUCUCUGAGCUUAACUCAGAACGGCCAAGUGAUACUGCAGUGCUAGAGUGCAGAAGGGGCAAUCGGAAUUCCCGGUGUAGCGGUGAAAUGCGCAGAUAUCGGGAAGAACACCCGUGGCGAAGGCGGUUCUCUGGGACGGUACUGACGCUGAGACGCGAAAGCGUGGGGAGCGAACAGG
rnacentral:rRNA from 1 species